AGCGAACGCUGGCGGCAGGCUUAACACAUGCAAGUCGAACGGGCAUAGCAAUAUGUCAGUGGCAGACGGGUGAGUAACGCGUGGGAACGCACCUUUUGGUUCGGAACAACACAGGGAAACUUGUGCUAAUACCGGAUAAGCCCUUACGGGGAAAGAUUUAUCGCCGAAAGAUCGGCCCGCGUCUGAUUAGCUAGUUGGUAGGGUAAUGGCCUACCAAGGCGACGAUCAGUAGCUGGUCUGAGAGGAUGAUCAGCCACAUUGGGACUGAGACACGGCCCAAACUCCUACGGGAGGCAGCAGUGGGGAAUAUUGGACAAUGGGCGAAAGCCUGAUCCAGCCAUGCCGUGUGAGUGAUGAAGGCCCUAGGGUUGUAAAGCUCUUUUGUGCGGGAAGAUAAUGACGGUACCGCAAGAAUAAGCCCCGGCUAACUUCGUG
rnacentral:rRNA from 1 species